GAAGAACAUGAUUAGUAAUACAGUAAUUAUAAAAUAAUUAUUUAUUUCUAAUAAAGGCUUGUCGAAGUGAUGAACCCACAGCGGAUGAAAGGGAAGAAUUUUAUCAAAUUGAUGAUACUUCAGAGGAGGAAGUUAAUAUUGAAGAAGAGGAGUCAGAAACAGAAGAGAGUGAGUAGGAAACCAUUACUCCUAUUCGUGAAGAUACUCCAGAAACAAAAGCACUGAAGGCUCGUUUGAGGAAAAGGGCAGAGGAACACGGAGAACUGCAGGAAGACUGCUUUCAAAAAGACCCGGAGUGGUCAAGUGUAGAAGAUAUACCAACUGAAUCAAAUUACAAGCAUCCUCACAUUGGUAAUACCCGUUGGUGCCAAUGCAACAACUGCACGUCCAUGAAAACGAGGGAUGAAAGUUUAUGCUGCCAGGAAGAGGAUGCAUUGAAUCCCCACUUUGAUCGAGGGAUAACAUGCAUCCUUGAUCACGAGGAGCUGCGAAAUCUACGUCUCCAAAAAAAAUUCUAGAAUUGAUGGCGGAAUUUAGAAGAAAAAC